rnacentral:rRNA from 1 species
GACGAACGCUGGCGGCGUGCCUAAUACAUGCAAGUUGAGCGCUGAAGGUUGGUACUUGUACCAACUGGAUGAGCAGCGAACGGGUGAGUAACGCGUGGGGAAUCUGCCUUUGAGCGGGGGACAACAUUUGGAAACGAAUGCUAAUACCGCAUAAAAACUUUAAACACAAGUUUUAAGUUUGAAAGAUGCAAUUGCAUCACUCAAAGAUGAUCCCGCGUUGUAUUAGCUAGUUGGUGAGGUAAAGGCUCACCAAGGCGAUGAUACAUAGCCGACCUGAGAGGGUGAUCGGCCACUUUGGGACUGAGACACGGCCCAAACUCCUACGGGAGGCAGCAGUAGGGAAUCUUCGGCAAUGGACGAAAGUCUGACCGAGCAACGCCGCGUGAGUGAAGAAGGGUUUCGGAUCGUAAAACUCUGUUGGUAGAGAAGAACGUUGGUGAGAGUGGAAAGCUCAUCAAGUGACGGUAACUACCCAGAAAGGGACGGCUAACUACGUG